UACAGAGGGGGCGAGCGUUGUUCGGAAUUACUGGGCGUAAAGGGCGCGUAGGCGGCCCGCUAAGUCGAACGUGAAAUCCCCAGGCUCAACCUGGGAACUGCCUCCGAUACUGGCAGUCUCGAGUGCGGGAGAGGUGAGUGGAAUUCCCAGUGUAGAGGUGAAAUUCGUAGAUAUUGGGAAGAACACCAGUGGCGAAGGCGGCUCACUGGCCCGUAACUGACGCUGAGGUGCGAAAGCGUGGGGAGCAAACAGG
rnacentral:rRNA from 1 species